rnacentral:lncRNA from 1 species
AGGUGAUAAUCUUUUUUCCUCAAAAUGUUAAAACUCUAACGACUACUUUAACAUUCACGUUUUCAUUCUAUUUUUCCUCCUACUCAUACUCUCAUCCAAUUCUUAUUCUUCUCCUAUUCAUCUUUCUCCAUCCUUGUAGUUCUUCUUAUAUUAUUUUGUGGUCUACCUAAUUCAAGCACAAGAGAGAAUGUCACGUCAAAUCGUCUUUGCUAUUGUCGUAGAAGAGCUACCUCUAUUGGAAAGCACCGAUUGCGUCAAUCUGAAAGGUGACAAUGAUCGACGUGGAACACACAAAAGCACUGAUUGCGUCAAUGAACAGUAAAGGGUGACGAAGAACGGCAACCACCAUCACCACUGGGAGAGCGAUGAUCGACGUGGACCUAGCACAAGAACGAUACCCUUCAACCAUAAGAGGGAGAAAAUGGUGAGAGAGAAUUCAUCACGUUUUCAAUUAGACUGAAAACUAUUAGAGAUUAAUUUGACACUAUAUACAAAAAUUGAUUAUUCAUUUUCCAAUAUAACAUUUUAAAUUAUGUCAUAUUAGUCCUCAUGACAUGACAUUGUUUAUUUCCUAAUUACAAUUGUCACGUUUGCGUCCAGGUGACACUUAACGUGUCACAUCACACAUUUACUAACGGUGUUAACGGCAGAUAUUAACGUGACAAACAAAAUAUAAAAUCGAGGAUCAUUUUGAUAUUUUUUAAAUCUCAGACAUCAAAUUGACAGCGCCUUAAAAAAUGAGGGACUAAUUUGAUAUUUACUUUAUAAUUAAGAAGUACAAAUCCUAUCUAGUUAAAAUUGUUGGUUAUAAUCCUCUCCUCUAAUUAACUAAUAUUGUAAAAAUAAAUGUUAUUAAUACAAUACUAAUUCUGUUUAUUUUACAUAAUAAUAUAAUUAGAUCUUAAAUUUCUAAAACACCAAUAAUUAUAAAAUAGAAUUAAAAAUUCAAAGCAUAAGAGGGUAUAUAUCUCAUAUUAUAAAAUAAAAAUAUAAGAUUACUUAAAAUCCCUCUCCCUCGAUAUGCUACAUGCAAAUGACAUAGUGUUGGACGAAACCCGAGGUAUUAGCUGCUAAAUAUGCUGAGUUUAGAAAUAACCUUGAUUUUUAGUUCUUCUAGUCAGUCCCCAGGCCCAGGCUCAAGAAAAUCCUCUCAGCUGCAAUGGAAACUGUACUCUCGGAUCAAAACCCUCCCUAUCCCUAUGUCACUCUUCACUUCAUUUAUGUACCUCUGCCUCUACCCUUUUCAUUGCAUUGUUUCACACACCACAUUCGUCCAAAACCAACUCAUUAAAAAAUUAAUUAAAACACACACAC